rnacentral:rRNA from 1 species
ACGCACGCUGGCGGCGUGCUUAACACCUGCAAGUCGCACGAUGAUCUCCCGCUUGCGGGGGUGAUUAGUGGCGAACGGGUGAGUAAUACGUGAGUAACCUGCCCUUGACUCUGGGAUAAGCCUGGGAAACCGGGUCUAAUACUGGACACUACUUCCUGCCGCAUGGUGGGGGGUGGAAAGGGUUUUACUGGUUUUGGAUGGGCUCACGGCCUAUCAGCUUGUUGGUGGAGUAAUGGCUCACCAAGGCGACGACGGGUAGCCGGCCUGAGAGGGUGACCGGCCACACUGGGACUGAGACACGGCCCAGACUCCUACGGGAGGCAGCAGUGGGGAAUAUUGCACAAUGGGCGGAAGCCUGAUGCAGCGACGCCGCGUGAGGGAUGACGGCCUUCGGGUUGUAAACCUCUUUCAGCAGGGAAGAAGCCACAAGUGACGGUACCUGCAGAAGAAGCGCCGGCUAACUACGUG